UACGAAGGGGGCUAGCGUUGUUCGGAUUUACUGGGCGUAAAGCGCGCGUAGGCGGAUCGUUAAGUCGGGGGUGAAAUCCUGGAGCUCAACUCCAGAACUGCCUUCGAUACUGGCGAUCUCGAGUCCGGAAGAGGUGAGUGGAACUCCUAGUGUAGAGGUGGAAUUCGUAGAUAUUAGGAAGAACACCAGUGGCGAAGGCGGCUCACUGGUCCGGUACUGACGCUGAUGUGCGAAAGCGUGGGGAGCGAACGGG
rnacentral:rRNA from 1 species